rnacentral:misc_RNA from 1 species
GCCUGUUCAUUGGAUGAUCGAAUCUCGCAUUUCGUCAUCUCACUUUCGGUUCCCUGUGUUGCAUACCUUCGCGACGGUAUCCUGUCGGCUAGAAUCGCCCCGUUUCACCCGACGUUGCGAGUAACAUCGCGACCGAAGGCGAACCGAAAAGCAUUCAUCGCGUUCCACCCCGUUCGCGUUACGCGCUGCGGGGACCGGCCCACGAUGACGUGCUCGAAUUCUCGGAUGCGGAACACAAUGUGGGCACGAGGACGUCAAUCCUCCGUUUGCCCCCGAACAAGCGUUCUACGCUCUGUGCGAACGACGUUCUUCCUCGU